rnacentral:rRNA from 1 species
AUUGAACGCUGGCGGCAUGCCUUACACAUGCAAGUCGAACGGCAGCGCGGGGCAACCUGGCGGCGAGUGGCGAACGGGUGAGUAAUAUAUCGGAACGUACCCUGGAGUGGGGGAUAACGUAGCGAAAGUUACGCUAAUACCGCAUACGAUCUAAGGAUGAAAGUGGGGGAUCGCAAGACCUCAUGCUCCUGGAGCGGCCGAUAUCUGAUUAGCUAGUUGGUAGGUAAAAGCCUACCAAGGCAUCGAUCAGUAGCUGGUCUGAGAGGACGACCAGCCACACUGGAACUGAGACACGGUCCAGACUCCUACGGGAGGCAGCAGUGGGGAAUUUUGGACAAUGGGCGCAAGCCUGAUCCAGCAAUGCCGCGUGAGUGAAGAAGGCC